rnacentral:rRNA from 1 species
UUGGAAGCAACGCGAAGAACCUUACCAGGUCUUGACAUCUUCUGACAACCCUAGAGAUAGGGCUUUCCCUUCGGGGACAGAGUGACAGGUGGUGCAUGGUUGUCGUCAGCUCGUGUCGUGAGAUGUUGGGUUAAGUCCCGCAACGAGCGCAACCCUUGAUUUUAGUUGCCAGCAUUCAGUUGGGCACUUUAAGGUGACUGCCGGUGACAAACCGGAGGAAGGUGGGGAGGACGUCAAAUCAUCAUGCCCCUUAUGACCUGGGCUACACACGUGCUACAAUGGACAGAACAAAGGGCUGCAAGACCGCAAGGUUUAGCCAAUCCCAUAAAUCUGUUCUCAGUUCGGAUCGCAGUCUGCAACUCGACUGCGUGAAGCUGGAAUCGCUAGUAAUCGCGGAUCAGCAUGCCGCGGUGAAUACGUUCCCGGGCCUUGUACACACCGCCCGUCACACCACGAGAGUUUGCAACACCCGAAGUCG